AUUGAACGCUGGCGGCAGGCCUAACACAUGCAAGUCGAGCGGAUGAAGGGAGCUUGCUCCUGGAUUCAGCGGCGGACGGGGGAGUAAUGCCUAGGAAUCUGCCUGGUAGGGGGGGAUAACGUCCGGAAACGGGCGCUAAUACCGCAUACGUCCUGAGGGAGAAAGUGGGGGAUCUUCGGACCUCACGCUAUCAGAUGAGCCUAGGUCGGAUUAGCUAGUUGGUGGGGUAAAGGCCUACCAAGGCGACGAUCCGUAACUGGUCUGAGAGGAUGAUCAGUCACCCUGGAACUGAGACACGGUCCAUACUCCUACGGGACGCAGCAGUGGGGAAUAUUGGACAGUGGUCGAAAGCCUGAUCCAGCCAUGCCGCGUGUGUUAAGUAGGUCUUCGGAUUGUAAAGCACUUUAAGUUGUGAGGAAGGGCAGUAAGUUAAUACCUUGCUGUUUUGACGUUACCAACAGAAUAAGCACCGGCUAACUUCGUG
rnacentral:rRNA from 1 species